rnacentral:lncRNA from 10 species
ACUGUAUCCUGCUUGUGGCAACAGUGUGAUGUGGCCGCAGAGACAGCUAAUAUGACCUUAGGCUGCAAGAAGGAGGGGCUGCAGAUGACACCUUCCUUCAGCAAGAUUCAUUUCUAUUCAUUUGUUGAUACUGUCAGCCUUUCAACCAUGGGAGCAUGUAUAGCCUGAGCAAUUUGCAAAGCAUAACAAAUCAUCCCUCAGAGGAAAAAAGCCAGCUCCCAUUUUUGCUAAUCCCUGCUAAGUUGUUAAUGAAUAAAUGAUAACUGAGCUGUUAGUAUUCACAACUAUGGACCUACCAUAUUACUUUUUCCAGAGACCUUUGCAUCUUGACAGGGAUCUCUAAGGGAACUGUUUUGUCCCAAAGUGCUGCUAACUGUGUGCUGGUGUAUUGUGCUGCCUAUGGGAAAUGGUGUUGGAUCAGCAGAAAACUGGAAAUCUUAUUUGUUUCCCUCCAGACUAGUAAGAACAGAUGCACAUUGACGACACAAAGUUUCUGCGAAUACGUAGUUUCAUGUAGGGCAUAACUUCUAUCCUGUGAUAGUACAUCAUUAAAAAGUAUCUUGCUUCUUAAAACUUCUGCACUGCAGCAAGACGGUAUCACACUGACUUCCUGAUCAUGUCCUUUUGGCAAGAUAAAAAACUAACCCUUGGGUUCAAACAAUAAAUGAGGAGUCUGGGUAGUACAUGAAGUAGUCACAGGUGAUAUCUACAUUUCUUUAUUGCAUUCUGAUUUUUUCAAUAUUGCAUUGCAGUGCUAACUCAAUUUCAUACCACCGCAAAACUAUGGUAAACCAUAGUGUUUGAGUUAAAAGUGCUCCUGUGUCUCUGCAAUAGUAUCCAAAACUAAGAGCUGUAAAUUAGUUAAUAGACUACUUAUUUUCAUUUGGGGAACAGGAAUGAAAACAUUGUGAAGUAAAUCAUCUAGUAAAGAUGACACUACAUUGAGCACACAGGUAUUAAACAUACAAAUGAUUGGCAUUAAACAUUCUUUUUACAAGCUGGUACUUUAACAUCUACCUCCCAAAGUUAAUUUCAUUAUAAUAAUUUUUUAGCAAACUGUAACUAUAAAUAGUUCUAUAUCAAGGUACACAUAUGUACCUUGAAGACUAACAAUAACAUGUUUAAGGAUGUCAUUUGUUUCACAUCUCAAACCCAAACCCCAAACACAAACAUUUCUGAAACGUUUCAGUUGAUUGAGCUUGUAAGCUAAAGAGUGGUAAAAUUCCACCAUCUAUGGACAUUUGAAUUUGAGUGUUGUCCAUGUACUUCCUUGUUGUACAUUCCCUGGAAAGUGUUUGGUUAGAAAUUAUAUAGCAAGUGAGAGCUCUGAAUGAAUACUCCAGCAAUUAUAGGAGAGGGAAGGUUUUCAUAAACAUACUUGAUUUUAUAGCAGGCACCCCCAAUUUUGGAUUCAGGGGCAGACAUAAGAAGAAAAUCUGAUUUGAGUUUAUCAUAUUCACCUUACUCCAUUAAUAAAUUUCUUCUGUAGAACAAAGUAAUGUGUAUGAAAGACAAUUAGAUAUAUUCAGCUUACCUUAACUUCAAGAUUCAAGUGGAUAAAAAUAUAAGUAACAAUCUCAGCUGAGAAUGAGGCAGAAAUGUAAACAUUAAUGGAAAUAAAAGUUAUCACAUCUCCCAAACAACUAUCAUUUAUGAUACUUUCAGAAGACUUUGCACAUGCUGAAACCUAUGUGGUAUAAUUAAUAAAGCAUUUUUUACCACAGAUAAUGGAAUGCUACUUGACCAACAUAAAUUAUCAAUUAUUUUGGAGAGAUUCUAAUAAGGAUAAACUAAGGCAUAAAACAAAGAGCAAUAAGAAAUCUGAACACAAGUAACAAGGCUACACUGCACUAGCCAUCUGAGUCAGAAUUUCUGUGGGUGGAAUAAAUAAUAAACCUGCUGAUGUUAAGAAAACUAAAACAAGUUCCAUACAAAUGAAAAUUUAGAAGGUGAGAAAUUUCUAUCAGAAAGGAAAACAAUACAGCAAAUGUCACAUUUGUACAGAAUAUGCUUCCUAUAAUCCUUCUUGAAUCUAUGAAUUUAAACUACCCCAUUUCUCCUUAAUUCUUUCAGCCAUUAGAGAACCAGUUAAUGAUCUUACAGAACCUAUGAUUUAAUUACAAGCAUCUGUUUUUGAGACUAAUCAAUGAAUCAUUAAUGUGAGCUUGGAAACAGCAGGUAGAAAACCAAUAAAUUAUUCAUUUUGAGGGAAGAAGGAAAUGUUCCUGAGCAUCAGAUAAUAUAUUUUAUUCACGCUUAUGUCAGGGUAACUUUGUGUAUUUGUGUGCAUACUCUUACAAUUCCAGCUGAAAAUGGCUUGGGGCAGUAUCUUUUACUUCUUUAAGCCUGAGAAGCAGCAGGCUACCAAUUGCUCCCAUUUAAGGAUGUGGCUGCCAUGAUAAUCUUUCACUUGUUCAGCAGUAUUUCUUUUUCUUUCCAUUGACAAGCUAGGAUACGAGCACAGUCCCUGCUCUGCCAAAGGAAACCAUGUCUUUUGUUAAAGUUUAAGCUACUGAUAAAUAUUUAAGGGAGUGCAGGGGUAGAUGUUAAUAUUACCUAGCAAAGAAUUCAUGGGCAAACAACUUUCAAAUGUAUCAGUAAGUUUACCUUAAAAUGACUUACUAGAUAAUGAGAUACAUCUAAUAUAUUUGCAACUGAAACACUUGAAGCUUUCAAGGUCUACCUGAACUAAUUUCUUCCCUCCCUCCCUCCUUUCCUUCCUUCCUUUGUCAAAUAUUUAUUGAAUGCCUAACAUGUGCCUGGCACCCUUCAGGGUACUGGGCUUAUAGCAGUUUACAGAGCAGAAAAAUAUCUCUGCCCCCUUAGAGCUUUCAAUUUACUGGGGACAGACAGACAAUAAACAAAUCCCAUGACAAAUAUGAAAGAAGGGAGGAGAUUUACUAUAUUUUCAUGAGAUUGUCAGGAAAGGCCUCUCUAAUGCAUACUUAUUUAAUAUUUAAGAAGAAACCAAAAAGAUGUGAGGGAGGAAGAUCUGUGGCUAACUGGGGGAAGAAGAGCAUUCAGGGUGGUGGGAACUGCAAUGACAAAAGACCAAAGGGGGUGCAUGGUUGAUGCAGAGAGAACAAAGGGGGCAGUGGCUGGAGAAGUGGUCAGAGCAGGAGACAGGGGAACAGACUGGGUGGGGCUUCCCCUCUUUCGUGAAUCUCCCACCCAAGUUAAUGUCUGUGAAGAGAUGGUUCUUUUGUUUAGGCAGAUAAAAUGCCUUCUUCAAGGCCUAUUUGAAGCUGCAUUUCCUUCUUGAAGUAUUCCCCUUUAAUGCCAAUAGUUCCCUAUACCCAGAUUCUCUUAACUCUAAAGUAUGAAUCAUGCAAUCAUUUCUUGUGCUUUAUUGUGAGUGACUAUUUCUUCUGUCAGCAUCUUUAAAGAGAUUGCAAGCAAUUUAAAGGUAGAAAACACAUCAUACUUUUUCUUCAUCCCAUAUAGCACAUGAUGUUAAACUCAAGGUAAUCAAGAAAGAAAUGAAAGAAAUAUAUAAAACUGUCAAUUAAGAAAAGACAAAGAAAUAUAUGACUCUAAAAACAAAUUCAGGUAUUUUGAGAAUAUAGCCAUGAAAACAAAAACAUUAAGGUAGAACUCAGUGGAUAAGACACAUGAUCUGAUUUUGUUUAGUAAUCUACAUCAUUGCUUAUCCCAACUUAGAGCUUAUACCUAUACAUCUGUAGAUCUCUUCUUCCUGUCCUACAGAAAAUGUAAUCCCUCAUCCAUGCAGCCUUCUUUCUUUCUUUACAUUAGCACUACUGCCCAUUCUUCACAAUGUCUAUCUUCCUUUAUGAUUUUUUUUCUCUGAACUCAUAUCUUCAAUUUCCUAGAGUAUUGUUACCUAGCAGGGUCAGGGCUAUUAGUGGAGCAGAAAUUAUAAACAUUUGAGAGACAUAGGUAGAGGGUUAAAAACCCACUAGUCUACUAGUUUAUUUCACUCAUUGCUUGGGAUUUAUCUACUUAAGCAAAGCAAUUAGGUUACAAAUGAACUGGCGAUAAAAUACUUUCAUAAAAAUUAUUUAUCCUGAGAUAAACUCUUUAUGAUUUUUAGACUUGAAAUAAUUUUAUAUACUUUUAAAAAUCAGUUCUGUAUCUAAGGUAGUAUAGUCCAACUAAGAAACAGAGUUGAUGUGCUCCAUGCUGAGGUCGAAUGAAGAAGAUAGAAAGUGCCCCUGGAUGCCUCUCUAAUCAUUAUUUUAGUGGAACAUUUCAAUCGCAGUCUAAUUAUUGAGCUCUCCCAAUCCCUCCAGUGCUAAAUUUCAAACAUGUUGGAACUUGGCGUGAAGAAGGGCAAGAUUGUUUUUCUCCAUCUGUAGAUGAAUUCUUCUUUUUACCUAAACUACUUAGUCCUGAUUUUUCUUUAGGCCAUCCUUCUAAAUAUGUCUUAGUCAUUGCUGUGCUAAAUAGAAGAGGUGGCAACAGGGUAGAAAACGACUCAUUAACACUCCUUGCUGAUGUUCUUUCAUAAAACUAUUUUUUAAAAAAAUUUUAUUUGUGUCUCAAUUCUUGCCUGACUGUUUACUUACUAGUAUUUAUUUCUUUUGGGUAAAAUUAUGAGUUUGGGAACCUAUUUACACUUACAUUCACUAAUUUGUUUAAGUGUAUUAAUUUCAAACAAAAAGAUGUAUACCCUCAAGGCUGUAUCUGCUGUGUUUAAUACACUAAUCAAUCAUUAGGCAUCCUUGCCUUCCUAUCUUACCAUUUUGUCCAAAACACAUCUAGUACUCAUUGACAUUUAUGUCCAACAAACAAAAAAAUCAGUAUAGCAACUUCUAUUUAUUAUGGAAGACAUGUUAACUAAGAAUCUUGAACAAUUUUUAGAUUAAUAGCAGGUUAAUUAGGUUAAUAGCAGGCAAAUAAAUAAUAACUCUAGUUUUGCCAAUGUCUCAUAACAAAUGUUUCAGUGAAAGCAAAUAGUUACUUUCUUCUUUUUAUGAGACAUUAAAGUAUUCCGCUGAGCAAUUUGAACUGCUUUGUCCCUCACACAGGACUUU